CGCUGGGAGCAAACAGUCUUUUAUCCAAAGAUGGAGCUUAAGACAACUUCAAUCUGCAGAGGAACGUCACACUCAUGGAUGGCAGCCAACCUCGAAGAAGCACCACAGCAAUGUCUUACUGCUGUUUCAAGCCCAGAGAGAGAGCGAGUGCUUGGCCGUGCGAGAGCAGAAAGAAGAGAGGAAAGGUUGCC